ACAAACAGUCGGAACUUCUAACAAAUGAACAGCACUAACAGCUGUUACAACAAGAAAAUAUAAACAACAAAGCGUACCCUCCCUACCUGAGACGAUCACCUAACCUCGUCCCCUUAUUUUGGCCACUAGUUGGCCUGCAUCAGCCCGUGUCGGCUGUCAUGCCCACUCUCCCCAUCAAUUUAAGCUUAGCCGGACAUUCUUUCCUUCAAUAUUGGGCAGCGCCGGCUGGCUCAUCGGAUUCUCUGGGUGCAGUCCCAUCCCUGGCCCGCAGUCCGCACAAUCGAUAACAACAAAGCUACACGUCUGUAGCAAAACAGACUCACACAACACUACUCAAAAUGAACCACAUAAUCGAUAACAAAUAUUCGGAACUGCUAACUCAUGAACAAAAUAAACAGCUGUAACAACUAUGAAAAUGUAAACAACAAAGAUCGGGCCCCGGUUCCGGACCCAGCGUACCCGCCCUGCCAUGAGACGAUCACCUACACUCGCCUCCCUCAUUUUGGCCACUAAAUGGCCUACAUUAGCCCGUGUCGGCCAUCAUGCCCACUCUCCCCAACAAUAUUACUUUAGCCGGACAUGCUUUCUUUCAAUAUCUAUUUGGAAUCUCAUGCAAGUGGAUAUUUCGUUAACUUCACAGA